rnacentral:rRNA from 1 species
AUACGGAGGGUGCAAGCGUUAAUCGGAUUUACUGGGCGUAAAGCGUGCGUAGGCGGUUGGGUAAGUCAGAUGUGAAAGCCCCGGGCUUAACCUGGGAACUGCAUUUGAUACUGUCCAGCUAGAGUCUGGUAGAGGGAAGUGGAAUUCCGGGUGUAGCGGUGAAAUGCGUAGAUAUCAGGAGGAAUACCAGUGGCGAAGGCGGCCCCCUGGAUCAAUACUGACGCUGAGGUACGAAAGCGUGGGGAGCGAACAGGAUUAGAAACCCUAGUAGUCC